rnacentral:lncRNA from 1 species
GCUGAUUCCCCGGGUGAAGAUAGCACGGGCCAGAUCGAACCGGAGAAAUCCACAGCGACAGGGGAGGUAUCCAUCCCCGACCCGCGUCGUUUCCCUGGGAAAACGCUCCACGCCUCUAGGGGUCGGGGAGAAAAGCCACGGCUCGAGACCGCGAGCGCGACCAAGAUCCACCGCUUCGCUUCCGAUCUUCUCCGCCGGCGACUGGAGAGACGGCCCGGCCCCUCUCCCUCCGGUGCUCCGCCACCACGCUCCGUCUCUCCAAUGACCGCGACGUCUGUUGUCCUUACGCUGCUCCUUCCCCGGAUCUCCCCUCCGCCUCGAAUUUCCUGUCCCCUCCGGCGACGGCGACGGCGACGGUUCCGCGGUCAAAUUCCACUUACUUCGACCUAAGGUUAGCCCCCCUCCUCUUCCACCUCAUUUUUUUUCACCCGUGGAUGCACUCAACGUCCAUGCACUGAUGCUUGAAUGUACAGAUUCAAGAACCUGACCACUUCUCUUCUUCUUUUAACUAAUUUUACAGGCCGGGUGCAAAAUUUACUCACAGGUUAUACAUCUCAUACAUUCCUGUGUUAUGCCUUUCUUCUGAAAUUAAAAAACAAUAGUGGGAGAGAGAAAUUACUGUACUGGUUAAGACAACUGAUUUUCAUACAAUGGCAGCAGUGCACAAACAGUGUCAGUGGUAUGUACUCUACUUAUUUCAGAGAUGAUUGGAGUCCGCUCAGCAGCUGCCAUCUAAUCAAAUCACAAUUCAGACUAGUAGGCAAACAUAUUGGAGAGCUAGUGUCAGAUCAAUUCAUUAGGAGCAUGUAUGGACACAAUUAUCAGUAUCAUAAUGCAUGGUUGUAUCACAAGUAGUAGACUAUAAUCAUGCAUUUCACUUGCAUGCAGACAAAGCACUCCACACCUAGCAUUUCAAAAAGUUUAAAUUCAUAUACUGAUCUGUAUAUAAUUGCCUAGAAUCUGCAUCAUGGUUUGCUCUUUCAACUCUUGAUUCUUGAACUACUGGAUCUUGCAUCUGUGUUCUAGUAGAGUAUAAAAUCCAAAUUCUUAUGACUAGAACUAUGAAUGAUUGUUUUAAUGUUGCUCCCUGUUAAUACCAGAGGAGAAUAAUAUGUCACUGAAUCUGUUGCACUGAUAAUCUAAGCUCAAAACAGUAAUCAUUAUUGUUUCUUUCUUUAGCAUAUACAUAUGGAAUUUGUUGCCCUGACAUUAUAGUUUAAGCUCAAAAAUAUAGAUGAUGUGCAUAAUUUAUUUUUCGUUGGCAAACAUGGAAUGAUUGUCCAAAUUAAAAAUAACAUUGUUGGAUAAUGAUUUGUGGUUUGUCUGAAUCUGAUAGGUGACGAUAUGUCAUUCUUCUGUUGCAAGAUAGUCUUGUCCUUGCAAAGGAACGAACUGCUUCUAGACUAUGUAAUCCUGUUUGGAGUGAAGGUAUUUUCCCUCAUUACACUUAGGACAAGUGAACCUUCAAGUUUAAUCUUCCAAGGCUUGUUUUCUAGCCCAAGUGUUUUUUAAGGCUUAGGCAGAGUAGGGCUCUUGGUUGAACUGAAAUUUCUACUACUGGUGGAAGUCAUUAGAUUUGAGCAGAAGUUGGUUCUUGGUUGAAACUAAUCUGGAGCUUUGCAGUUUUUUAUAGCCGGCUGGUGGAGGCAAAGUCUCAUGCCUGAGCAGUUACUACUUGUUGCUAAUUCCAUUAUUGUAUGAUAUGCUGGUGCAGGAUCUGUGACUGUUGAAUUGCUGCACAUAUUACACAUACUUUUUUCUUUGCCUUUAUUUUUAUAAAGUAUAUACCUUUUACUUUCUGCAAUAAAGAAAACUACAUUGCGUAUAGUGCGAAAAUGUCUGCCCAAUAAUGCUUUAUUUGUUAACUUACAUUAAUCUAUUCACAAUUCUUAUCUGAAAAUGAUAAUUGAACUGGUAGGUGGAUGAGUGAUAGGAUAAAUUAAUUGUGUUUUUCUAUGCUCGAUCAACCUUCUACAGUUCUAUGUGUGCCUUUCUUUAAUUACAUCCAGUAGAGAAGGGGCCAGAUAUGAUAAACCAUGGUCAUGUACUCAAGUUCUCAAAUGCAACAUAGAAUCAACAUAUUUGUCUUCCGAAUAAAUUGUAAGAUAUGGGUAAGAAGUUCUCGCACGAGUACUACUCAGAAUGGUGAGCCUUUUUUUCACUAGUCUUGCCAUCUGUUGCUGAUCUACUUAUGCUUGAGAACACUGCAAUGAAACCGUGUCGUACUAGUAUUGAAAGAUUUACUAAACUGUUGUAUUUUGAAACAGUUGCUGACUUCCAAAAAAAAAUUCUUCUAAUUCAGUCAACAUCGAGCUGCUGUUCUCAGCUGAUGUGGAGUAGAGGAAGACGAGAUAUCCCGAACAUUGCCUUACAAUUUGCACCUUCAGAAGUGUGGUUGUCCAUGGCAUGGAGUUUUGGUAAUUUAGAACUUUUUGUACCGGUGUAAAGGUCCAGGACAAGCUAGUAGCUAAAAUCUAUUUGUUCCUAUGGGCAUUGGCUUCAUUGUUCUAAAACUCAGAACCUGUUGAACAAUGAUGUUAUUUGUAAUGGCGGCAUGAGAGGAGGAAGAUUUGGUUGCUUGUUCUGUAUAGCUUCCUAUAAGCAAUGCACCUCUAGAUGAUUUUGUCAAAAGCGUGUCGAGUUGAUAUUCUCAAUAUAUUAUUAUUUAUCAGUUUGCAAGUUCAUUAAUGUCCUCUGAUUAUUUCCAAA